CCGCAUUCGCGUAACUGACGAGACAGGCGGAGCACCGCCGUGGAGCGCGAAGCCAGUUUGCCGCUCGUCUGGGCACCCCGA
rnacentral:ncRNA from 2 species